GGUGGAAUGGCCGAGUCGUUAAGGCGUAUGAUUUAGGACUUUAUGUUAAAUCUCAUAUGGUAAUACCGCGUGGGUUCAAAUCCCACUUCCAUCA
rnacentral:tRNA from 2 species